rnacentral:rRNA from 1 species
UGGCAAUUAUGGCGCAAGUGAAACACGAGAUCCCAUCCCGAACUCUAAAGUGAAACCUUGCUGCGCCGAUUGUACUACGCGGAUUAGCGUGGGAGAGUAGGGCGUUGCCAAGCU